rnacentral:rRNA from 1 species
AUUGAACGCUGGCGGCGUGCCUAAUACAUGCAAGUCGAGCGAAUGGAUUAAGAGCUUGCUCUUAUGAAGUUAGCGGCGGACGGGUGAGUAACACGUGGGUAACCUGCCCAUAAGACUGGGAUAACUCCGGGAAACCGGGGCUAAUACCGGAUAACAUUUUGAACCGCAUGGUUCGAAAUUGAAAGGCGGCUUCGGCUGUCACUUAUGGAUGGACCCGCGUCGCAUUAGCUAGUUGGUGAGGUAACGGAUCACCAAGGCAACGAUGCGUAGCCGACCUGAGAGGGUGAUUGGCGACACUGGGAUUGGAAAACGGCCCAGACUCCUACGGGAGGCAGCAGUAGGGAAUCUUCCGCAAUGGACGAAAGUCUGACGGAGCAACGCCGCGUGAGUGAUGAAGGCUUUCGGGUCGUAAAACUCUGUUGUUAGGGAAGAACAAGUGCUAGUUGAAUAAGCUGGCACCUUGACGGUACCUAACCAGAAAGCCACGGCUAACUACGUGCCAGCCGCCGCCGUAA